UGUGUAAGCGCUAAACCCGUUGUGAAGCGGGGACAGAAAACUACGGGUCUUGUUUGAAGAUAGCCGGGUUGCCACGU
rnacentral:ncRNA from 1 species